UACGAAGGGGGCGAGCGUUGUUCGGAAUCAUUGGGCGUAAAGGGCGCGUAGGCGGGCUUGUAAGUCGGUUGUGAAAUCCCUAGGCUUAACCUGGGAAUUGCAUUCGAAACUGCAAGUCUUGAGUUCUCGAGAGGAUGGUGGAAUUCCUGGAGUAGUAGUGAAAUACGUAGAUAUCAGGAGGAACACCGGAGGCGAAGGCGGCCAUCUGGCGAGACACUGACGCUAAGGCGCGAAAGCGUGGGUAGCAAACAGG
rnacentral:rRNA from 1 species